ACGGCUCAGUAACACGUCGGUAACCUGCCCUAUGGUCGAGGAUAACCUCGGGAAACUGAGGAUAAACCGCGAUAGGUCAUCACUUCUGGAAUGGGUAAUCACCCAAACACGUGCCAUAGGAUGGGCCGGCGGCUGAUUAGGCUGUUGGUGGGGUAAUGGCCCACCAAACCUAAGAUCAGUACGGGCCUUGAGAGAGGUAGCCCGGAGAGGGACACUGAGAUACGGGUCCCAGCCCCACGGGGUGCAGCAGGCGCGAAACCUUUACAAUGCACGAAAGUGUGAUAGGGGGAUACUCAGUGCUUACGGCUCUGCUGUAGGCUUUUGUCGAUCGUAAAUAGAUCGGCGAAUAAGUGGUGGGUAAGACCGGUGCCAGCCGCCGCGGCAACCCCGGCGCCACAAGUGGUUAUCACGAUUAUUGGGCCUAAAACGUUCGUAGCCGGUUUGGUACAUCUCUUGUGAAAUUGUUCGGCUUAACCGGACAGCGUGCAGGAGACACGGCCAAACUCGAGACCCGAUGGCGAAGGCAUCUUACGAGAACGGAUCUGACGGUGAGGAACGAAAGCCAGGGGAGCGAACCGGAUUAGAUACCCGAGUAGUCCUGGCCGUAAACGCUGUGAGCUAGGUGCCGCGUAUCUCGCGAAGAUGCGCAGUGUCGAAAUGAAGAUGCUAAGCUCACCGCCUGGGAAGUACGGUCGCAAGACUGAAACUUUAAGGAAUUGGGAGGCGCAUGAAGUAUGCCGUGGGGACUGGUAAAAUGGGAUAAUCCACGGUAGACUACGGCGGGGGAGCAC
rnacentral:rRNA from 1 species